rnacentral:rRNA from 1 species
GUACACGCUGUGACUAGCAUAUCAAUAAGCGGAGGAAAAGAAACUAACAAGGAUUCCCCUAGUAACGGCGAGUGAAGCGGGAAGAGCUCAAAUUUGAAAUCUUAAAGGGUUUCCCUUUACGAAUUGUAGUUUAAAGAAGUGUUUUCUGUUGAGGUUUUGGUAAAAGUUCUUUGGAAUAGGACAUCAUAGAGGGUGAGAAUCCCGUAUUUGACCUUUACUUUCAACUUUGUGAUACACUUUCAAAGAGUCGGAUUGUUUGGGAAUGCAGUCCAAAAUGGGUGGUAAAUUUCAUCUAAAGCUAAAUAUUGGCGAGAGACCGAUAGCGAACAAGUACCGUGAGGGAAAGAUGAAAAGAACUUUGAAAAGAGAGUUAAACAGUACGUGAAAUUGUCAAAAGGGAAGCGUUUGACACCAGUGUUGUUUUUCUGAAAAUCAAUUAAAGAACUGUUUAUGCUAAGCUGUUUAGACUUUAUCAGCUAUCUGUUUAGUUUUGAGCUUUUCUUUAAUGCACUUUUCAGUUAACAAGUCAACAUCAAUUUAUUUUGCUGUAAAAAAGCUUGAGGAAGGUGGCUUGAGAUUCGUCUUAAGUGUUUAUAGCCUCUUGCCUAUGCAGUCGGAGAGAUUGAGGUCUGCAGCGUAGAUCCUUCGGGGCUAAAUGCAUCUGUGCUAAGUUAUAGCAUUUUAUAGACAACUUGUUGACUAUGAUUUGUCUUGUAGCUUACUCGCUUAUGUUAUUUUACCUACGCUUAGGAUGUUGAUAUGCAUGACUGAUAU